AUCACUACUUACGCCGCCCAAGGGGUGGAUCACUUCUGCAGUGUACAUCUAAUGUACAUUUAUUUGCAUCAAAUGCAUUUUUAUAACAUUCCCAUCAACUUAGCUUUGACUUUAACAACACCAACUUGUCAACGUAUCCUUCUAUAGCAACGCAUGAUUGUUUGUUGUGAAUGUUUCAAAAUGAUAAUCAAGCAAGAGCCUAUUGAACCAAAAAAUACCAUUUCAAUUCGCAUUUGAUGCCUUAUCAUCACAUAAAAAUCUGAUCGUUGAGGCAUUGUGUUAAGGAAUUCUGAAAUCAUGAGCUUUGUCUUGCUUCCAUGCGCAUAGAAAACUACAUGCUUGCAAGCAGGAAUAGUAAGAAACCCAUUUGCGGGAAGACCACAGUCUGUUAGGCGACUUGCAGCGAUAGAACCUGGGUCAUCACCAUUUGUACUUGAUUGGGCGGACAAAAUUUCUGUGGACUCAACACCCACCUGAAUAAAAAAGAACAAGAAAAAAUAGAUCGAAAAUAAAUAAUUGAAAUGA
rnacentral:lncRNA from 1 species